GAGUUUGAUCGUGGCUCAGAUUGAACGCUGGCGGCAUGCCUUACACAUGCAAGUCGAACGGCAGCGCGGGAGCUUGCUCCUGGUGGCGAGUGGCGAACGGGUGAGUAAUGCAUCGGAACGUAUCCUGGAGUGGGGGAUAACGUAGCGAAAGUUACGCUAAUACCGCAUAUUCUGUGAGCAGGAAAGCGGGGGACCUUCGGGCCUCGCGCUCUUGGAGCGGCCGAUGUCGGAUUAGCUAGUUGGUGAGGUAAAGGCUCACCAAGGCGACGAUCCGUAGCAGGUCUGAGAGGAUGAUCUGCCACACUGGAACUGAGACACGGUCCAGACUCCUACGGGAGGCAGCAGUGGGAAUUUUGGACAAUGGGGGCAACCCUGAUCCAGCCAUGCUGCGUGAGUGAAGAAGGCCUCGG
rnacentral:rRNA from 1 species